GUCUUUUCUGCUCGGUGUUCUUUAACAGCCGCGGUACUUUGACCGUGCAAAGGUAGCAUAAUCACUUGCCUUAUAAUUGGGGGCUAGAAUGAAAGAAUGAACGAAAGUUUUUCUUUAUUUUAAAAAUUAAAAUAAUUUUCUUUUUUAGUGAAGAAGCUAAAAUUUAGAAAGGGGACAAGAAGACCCUUUUGAGCUUGACUAGUCUUAUUUAUUUAUAAUGAAGGGUUAGUUUGGUUGGGGCGACCAAGGAAUAGAUCUUCCUUUAUUAAUUUUGAUCCGCUUUUAGCGAUUAAAAGAGUAAGUUACCAAAGGGAUAACAGCGUAAUCUUUUUUGAGAGUUCUUAUUAAAAAUUAGGAUUGCGACCUCGAUGUUGACUUAUGGUUUCCUUUUGAUGUAGCAGUUAUUAGGGUGGGUCUGUUCGACCUUUAAAGCCUUACGUGAGUUGAGUUCAGACCGGCGUGA
rnacentral:rRNA from 1 species